GGGGCUAUAGCUCUGUGGCAGAGCACUUGCCUAGCAUGUAUGAGGCACUGGGUUCAAUCCUUAGCACCA
rnacentral:tRNA from 1 species